rnacentral:lncRNA from 1 species
AUUAUUCAAAUAAUAAAUUAUAUUAAAAGGGCCAAAUUGGCAAAUAAUACAUCAUACAUCUCAUGUCUCAAUAGGCUUUAAAUACAACAUUUAAGCUUUGCAUGGCAAAACUUAAAACUCUAAGCUUGAUUAGAAAGGCCGAGUGGCUAGUGCCAUAGGCAGGCAAUUCAAGCCCCCACAAAACAUUAUGGGGCCUUAAUUUUUUCCUCAAUUAUGGAGAUAAUCGAGUGAAGAUUUUAUUCUUCCUUUCAAAACGUGAGUAGAGUAAAUAUACGUCUCUUGAAUAUUAAAUAAUGUGAAAUUUAGUUAAUUAUCUAAUUGUAAAUAUCAGUAAUAAUUUGAUGUAGUAUCAGUAGUAAUCUUAUGUAAUAUAAAUUAGUCUCAUGUAAUUAAAAAAAAAAAGCUCGAUUACAGCAUCGGAAAAAAAUCCGUUUACAACUACGGUUAACAUCAUGAGAAAUACCAUAAAAAUUGACUCUAUUCACUAUAAAAUUCUUAUAACCCAGAGGAAAACUAACUUCAUGAUUGCACACCCUAAUAUUUAAUAAGGCAUUGGAGGAAUUUUUACCAUAAUCCUCGUAAAACUUCACCUUCUGAAUUAACUAAGUGGUUUGUAAAAAUAAAAUCAGAGCAUUAGUUUUCAAUUAUCUUUGUAUGCAAUCAUGUAUAUUGAUUGAGUCAUUUACCUAAAUAUAAAUAUGGACAUGUUCCAUAUGCAAUUAUGUAUAUUUUAAUUUUAUCAGUUUUUAGCUCUACUUUUAAACUACUCGUCUUUAUACUCACUUGGCUGAUUUUCGUAUUCUUUUGUCUAUCAGCUCAUUUAUAAAAUCUCGUCUCAGUCUUUUUUUUUUUUUUUUUUUGCGUGAAAUGAGUUGUUGAGAACUUAUUUUAUUCACUAACCAAUUUUUAGUCAAUCAACCUAUUUACAAGCUCUAGCGUCAGUAACGUUUAAAUAAACUUAUUGAGUUUCUACCCAUAAAAAUUAAACAGUUUAAUAAGGAAAUUUCAUCCUAAGGAAGAUAAAAGUAAAACCCAUCAAUAAUUAUAAUUAUAGGGAAUUCAAGAAGUGGUGGCAAAAUGGAGCCUACAAGAGGAAAUUAGUGAUGCAUACCGAUCUGGAAUAAUAAAUGAGAUGGGGUUUCUCACAGGAAUAACCUGCGAAUGAGGUAAUGCCAGUGAGCCUCCAAUGAAUGGCUACAACGUCAAUGAUUGAGAGACAAAGCCUUCUCGUUCAUGCACCAUGUUCGCUCGUUCUUCAAUCUUUAUACCCAAUUUUCAAUUUUUUUUUUGUUUUUUUGGUGGUGAAAUAUCGUGAUCCUUUCUAUUAUUGUUUAAUUAAUUUAUCAUUUUAUGCUACUUUGUCAUAAUAAAAUCAGCUUUUUAAUGGAGAGGAGGAAUGUGUAAACAAAAUGGUAAUGACCAAUGUGGUCCAAUACAGUAGCAUGCAUAUUAAUUGGAGCUUGGUUAAAAGAAUUUCCGCUCGCAAGCGCAUGGGUACCAAUUAGAUGAAGGCGGCCAACUGCCAGCUGCGCGUACGCAGACAGUACAGUGUCUCAAGUGUGUGGCCUAAAAUUAAAAUUGUCACCUCGAGUGCUCUAAAGAUCUAAGUCUUAACUCAAUGAAAUAACAAGAUAUGAAAGUGCCUUACUCAUCGUAUUAUCAUAAAAUUAGCUGCUCUAUUUUAAGAAGAAAUUGAUGAUCCAGAUCAAAACCACAAACUUGGGAGCAUUGUAAAUAAAUUAUUAUAUAUAUAUUUUUCCUAUUCAAAUAAUAUUGGGGGAAAAAAUUAAAAAAAUAAAAAAAAGGUCGCCAGGACCCCAACAAGCAGGAUGACCCAUCGGCCAUCCCAAUACUCGUGAUCUUCUAGUAGUUGAAUAAAAAGGGGCCCAAUCUCAAACAAAGAUGAAUCUUCAUCCGCACAUUCCUUAAUUUUCUCGCUCCAGUUCACCAUCAAAUCAGAUCAGGACCCGGCUGCUACCCGCGAUCAGGUGGGGUCCAGCACACAGUAGAAUGCCACGUUGGAGAAUAAAUAAUGGGGGGGGAACGCCUAACUUACAAUCAAUGUACCUUACGUUCUUUGUCUUUUUCUUUUUGGCAAAUAUCAUAUGAGCCCUCCUAAUUCUUUUUAUUUUCAAUUUUUACAGCUGUGGAUGUAUUUGUCUUCUUCCAUCCCUCCUAUCGAUUUUUUUAUUUUCUCUAAAGUUUUAUUUAUUUCUUUAAACAUUAUUAAAUGAUUAUCAAAUUCAUACAAAUCUAUAAAUUCAGAAUAAACUUCUGGUCCUAAAUUUAUUAAUCCUAGUCUUGAAUUGUAGGUUUAUUGCAUGUAAUUUAAUUAUAUAAUUAAAUUAAAGAGAAAUUAUAUAAAAAAUAUAAAAAAUAUACAUGACAGACUUCAAAAUUAACAUGCAAUAGCUUUCAGAAUUACCGUUAAAAUCAUUCCUAAGAAUUAAUUCUGAUUAAAGGGCAUUAUCAACAUAUACUCUGAUUAAUUCUGAUUAAUAGAUACCAUUUGAUAUUUUAAUUUACCAUUUUAAUUCAAUUAAUGUAGUUUCCAUAAAAUUCAAGGGUGCCAAUAGAUAUUUCACUUCUUGAAUGUAUGUUGCGUUACACGUAACCUAGGUUUGGCCAUUUGAUAAUCGUAUGUUAUUAUUUAAAAAAAUAAAAAGAACAUUGGAAAGAAUGAAAAAUAGAUGUAUAAUUGAUAAAAGAAGGCAAAUACAUCCAUAAACAUAAAGAAUACAAGGACUCGUGUGAAAUUCGCCAGAAGAAAAAAGACAAAAAACGUAAGUUACGCUUAACGUAACUUAGAGGCACCCAUAAUGGGGGGGGUUAAUAGUUGCAGGUGAUUAACUGAUUAUGUCCCGUAGUGGAGUUAACAACAAUUGGGAGCGAAGGCGAAGCCCCAGGCCUUGGCUUUCUCGGUGCCAGACAAAACACGUACCGCGAGCUGCCCACCUCUGACAAAUUUUUCACAAACACCCACCCGCAUUCUUUUUUUCUUUUCUUUUUUAUUUUCUGGUUUCUGUUUGAAACAAUGGGCUGACAGCCAAAACAUCGAUCCCUUUUCAUAUUUCUUCAAAUGAAAAUAUAAGUUGUUCAUUUGUGCCAUUUAGGUCCCAAGCUUGGCUUAUGCAGAUAACAAAAUUCCCCCUUCAGGCCACUAGUCGGGUGACACGACUUAAAAAUAUUUGAUUUUCUUCCAAGUAUAAGAGUGUUUAAUUAUAAUAUAUUUUGGUGAGUCCGAAAUUGAUCCACAGAGAAAUGAUUUAAUUUAUUUAUUUAAGUUUAUAAAAAAAUUAAAAUAAAAAAUAAAAAUAUGUAAUUUAGUUUAAGAAAAACUAUGAAAUUGAAUUAGUUAGGGUUAUUGAUCCACUCUUAGUAAUAAAUACAAUUUAACAAAUUCUUUUUAUUUUUUAUUACAUUUCUCAAAAGAUUAAUUGUAU